CUUUUAUUGUACUUUUUGGUAAUUUCCCAGUGCCUGACAACUGUGAGGGGGGUGAAUUUUUUUCUAACUCAUUAGUUUAGAUCACAUUUAGAUAUAAAAUAUAUGAAUAAUUAAGGGCGUGGUCGGCUUGAUUGACGGCUGACGUCGAGGCAUACAGCAGCAGAAGUUGCCAGCUGAGUGGAAAGUGGAAACCCUGAAACUUUGACGUCUCAGCCAUGAUUAUACACAGUUACCACAUCCUUUCUGAACAUCUUUAUUCAAAAAGCUGACAUAAAAUGGUUUGCUAAGCUACUUAUUGAAGCCUACUAACCGACACUUUCAGAAGACUUCGUUCCAGUUUUUUCAGAUUCCCUGUAGGUAAUCCAGACAGGCUGGGUGCUGGAGAGGGCUCUGGACUCCUAACUUCAAUUCUUGUCUGUGCAGUCCAUGAUCUGGAACAUUUUGAAAUCCUACCAGAUGGGGCAGAAGUCAUUGAGCAG